rnacentral:rRNA from 1 species
AUACGGAGGGUGCGAGCGUUACUCGGAAUCACUGGGCGUAAAGCGCGCGCAGGCGGCUAUCUAAGUUGGAUGUGAAAGCCUACGGCUCAACCGUAGAACUGCAUCCAAAACUAUUUAGCUAGAGUGUGGGAGAGGAAGAUGGAAUUAGUUGUGUAGGGGUAAAAUCCGUAGAGAUAACUAGGAAUACCAAAAGCGAAGGCAAUCUUCUGGAACACUACUGACGCUAAGGCGUGAAAGCGUGGGGAGCAAACGGGAUUAGAAACCCUAGUAGUCC